rnacentral:rRNA from 1 species
CCUACGGGAGGCUGCAGUAAGGGAUAUUGGUCAAUGGGGGAAACCCUGAACCAGCAACGCCGCGUGAGGGAAGACGGUUUUCGGAUUGUAAACCUCUGUCCUCUGUGAAGUUGAUGACGGUAGCAGAGGAGGAAGCUCCGGCUAACUACGUGCCAGCAGCCGCGGUACUACGCAGGGAGCGAGCGUUGUCCGGAUUUACUGGGUGUAAAGGGUGCGUAGGCGGGACUGCAAGUUGGGUGUCAAAUCUACCGGCUCAACCGGUAGCCGCACUCAAAACUGCAGUUCUUGAGUGAAGUAGAGGCAGGCGGAAUUCCUAGUGUAGCGGUGAAAUGCGUAGAUAUUAGGAGGAACACCAGUGGCGAAGGCGGCCUGCUGGGCUUUUACUGACGCUGAGGCUCGAAAGUGUGGGGAGCAAACAGGAUUAGAUACCCUUGUAGUC